rnacentral:snRNA from 1 species
GGUUGGACCACCGACCAUGAUCACAGC